CCUACGGGAGGCAGCAGUGGGGAAUAUUGGACAAUGGGCGAAAGCCUGAUCCAGCAAUGCCGCGUGAGUGAUGAAGGCCUUAGGGUUGUAAAGCUCUUUUACCAGGGAUGAUAAUGACAGUACCUGGAGAAUAAGCUCCGGCUAACUCCGUGCCAGCAGCCGCGGUAAUACGGAGGGAGCUAGCGUUGUUCGGAAUUACUGGGCGUAAAGCGUACGUAGGCGGUUAUUCAAGUCAGAGGUGAAAGCCUGGAGCUCAACUCCAGAACUGCCUUUGAAACUAGAUAGCUAGAAUCUUGGAGAGGUGAGUGGAAUUCCGAGUGUAGAGGUGAAAUUCGUAGAUAUUCGGAAGAACACCAGUGGCGAAGGCGACUCACUGGACAAGUAUUGACGCUGAGGUACGAAAGCGUGGGGAGCAAACAGGAUUAGAUACCCUGGUAGUCCACGCCGUAAACGAUGAUAACUAGCUGUUCGGGCUCUACGAGCUUGAGUGGCGCAGCUAACGCAUUAAGUUAUCCGCCUGGGGAGUACGGUCGCAAGAUUAAAACUCAAAAGAGUAGUACGCGUGAGACGUGCGACGAGACACAGGGAGGUUAGAG
rnacentral:rRNA from 1 species